rnacentral:rRNA from 1 species
CCUACGGGAGGCAGCAGUGGGGGGUAUUGCACAAUGGGGGGAACCCUGAUGCAGCGACGCCGCGUGGGUGAAGGAGCGUUUCGGCGCGUAAAGCCCUAUCGGCAGGGAAGAAGAUGACGGUACCUGACCACGAAGCCCCGGCUAACUACGUGCCAGCAGCCGCGGUCAUACGUAGGGGGCAAGCGUUAUCCGGAUUUACUGGGUGUAAAGGGGGCGCAGACGGCAAUGCAAGCCAGGAGUGAAAGCCCGGGGCCCAACCCCGGGACUGCUCGUGGAACUGCAUGGCUGGAGUACAGGAGGGGCAGGCGGAAUUCCUAGUGUAGCGGUGAAAUGCGUAGAUAUUAGGAGGAACACCGGUGGCGAAGGCGGCCUGCUGGACUGUGAAUGACGUUGAGGCCCGAAGGCGUGGGGAGCAAACAGGAUUAGAUACCCUUGUAGUC